rnacentral:lncRNA from 1 species
GUUGAGCUUAAAGGGUUAUGCGUAUGCUGAAAGUUUCAGUUAGUCUUGAAAUGUAACACUUUUUUUCUCUGUUUUAGGUGUUCAUGGAGAUCUAAUUAACGUUACAGGAUUAUGGGCAAGAAUCUCAAGCAUGAAAUCAUUGACCAGAGAAAGUUGGGCAGCUGUUGACAGCUUUCACAACAAAUCAAGGUUGGUCCAUAUCUGUUAUAGACUUGCAUUGCAUAGUUUUUAACAGCUUAAGUAAUGAAAGUGUAUCACAAAAUGUUUACAAUAUUGGUUGUGUAAUGCAAUCAAAAUUGUGCUUGAUUGGUUCUGCUUUCUUGUGAUCAUUUCUUUAAUUUUAUUCAACAGUGAUUCAUUUUACUCCCCAACAGACUAAAGAGCCGACUGAUACUAGGUCUCUGAUGCUCAGAGGACUCCCUAUCAUUCAUUUGGCGACAAACCUACAGAUUUCUACAAAGUAUGCUUUGACUCUGAUGACAUUGGAAUCCUCCUCAUUGAGCAUGAAGGUGACAUGCUCUCAUCUUCUCUCCAUCUCAAUCCAACCUCAUUGAAGAUCAUCAUUGAAGGAGAAGUUGUGAUGGACAAUAUUAACGACUUGCCAAAAGCUAUGCGCAUUCUAGAU